rnacentral:tRNA from 1 species
GGGGCCAUGGCUCAGUGGUAGGGCACUCGUCUGGCAUGUGUGAGGCAUUGGGUUCGAUUCUCAGCCCCA